rnacentral:rRNA from 1 species
AGAGUUUGAUCAUGGCUCAGGACGAACGCUGGCGGCGUGCCUAAUACAUGCAAGUCGAGCGGAUCUUUGGGAGCUUGCUCCCAAAGAUUAGCGGCGGACGGGUGAGUAACACGUGGGCAACCUGCCUAUGAGACUGGGAUAACUCCGGGAAGCCGGGGCUAAUACCGGAUAAUUCUUUUCUACACAUGUAGAAAAGCUGAAAGAUGGUUUCGGCUAUCACUCAUAGAUGGGCCCGCGGCGCAUUAGCUAGUUGGUGAGGUAACGGCUCACCAAGGCGACGAUGCGUAGCCGACCUGAGAGGGUGAUCGGCCACACUGGGACUGAGACACGGCCCGGACUCCUACGGGAGGCAGCAGUAGGGAAUCUUCCGCAAUGGACGAAAGUCUGACGGAGCAACGCCGCGUGAGUGAUGAAGGUUUUCGGAUCGUAAAACUCUGUUGUUAGGGAAGAACAAGUAUCGGAGUAACUGCCGGUACCUUGACGGUACCUAACCAGAAAGCCACGGCUAACUACGUGCCAGCAGCCGCGGUAAUACGUAGGUGGCAAGCGUUGUCCGGAAUUAUUGGGCGUAAAGCGCGCGCAGGUGGUCUCUUAAGUCUGAUGUGAAAGCCCCCGGCUCAACCGGGGAGGGUCAUUGGAAACUGGGAGACUUGAGUGCAGGAGAGAAGAGUGGAAUUCCACGUGUAGCGGUGAAAUGCGUAGAGAUGUGGAGGAACACCAGUGGCGAAGGCGACUCUUUGGCCUGUAACUGACACUGAGGCGCGAAAGC